ensembl:lncRNA
CUGCAUUUAUGUGUUUCCAUUGUAAAGAUAUCAUUCAUUUUAAUGCUUUUCAGUUUCUGAUACGUGCAACCUGCAAUUGGGGUAGCAUUUAAACAAUUGUUACACUGUUAAGGCUUUACUCAGUUCUUUAGUUUCCAGAUCCUGAAAUAUAAGUGAUUUCUGUAGUUCCUUCUGAGACUUUUUUUUUUUUGCUUGUUAUUUCCUGUUGUAGUAGCCUAACAUACAAUGGAACAAGGAAGGUUUAUUUACAUUUUUGUGUCUUAAAUCCAGCUACCACUAAGUUAACAAUACGUGCUUCUUUAAAGAUGUGUGUACUACCUUUGUUCCAAUACUGGUUGGUAGUAGAUACAAGAAUUAAGAUGAGACCUGGAAGGGAAAAGAUUGACACAACAAACCCUUGUUCUUCCUAGUUUCUCCACAUGAGCAACCUGUUGGGAAGUCUGGGACUGAAUAGUAAUGAAAAGAAGAGAUGAGAAAUGCAGGGUGAAUUGUUGAAUUCAGAAAUGAGACAACAGAUUAAAAGAAGAUGAUGGAUGGGAAUAAAAUACAGAUGUCAAAACUUACAUUAUUGAUUGGAUAUUAAGAUUAUUUUCCCUACUUCUGCGUUUCUCUUGAGGACAUGAGGAAGAGAUUUGAGCUCUUCAUCUGAAAAACUUACACUACAGCACAAAGAGGUAAAUAUUUUAUUAUAAUAGGUUCAGUAAAUUCAGCAUUCAUAACAGAGGAAAUGCUAUGACUUAAAUGUCUUCCCAAGAUCAGGCAUAAAUGAUGUUUUUGAACAAGUCCUUAAAUCGUAUCAAUAAAUUCCAUGUAAAUGUCCAUGUAAAAAUUUAAUAGCUGAAUAGGAAAAAAAGGCUUUCCUUUGCAUUGUCCAAUGUAAAGAUUUUAAGUUAUAAAGUAAUUGUGGAUUCAGCAUCCUACAAUCAAUCUCAGUCAGCAAGGACUUAAUGCUUAUAUGCAGCUGUGAUUCAUCAGAUUACACAGCAUCACAGCAGCUGUGUUCUCCAAAGCCUGGCUGUAGGUAUUGUCCAAAGUCCAUCAUUACUAAGCAAAUGAUGAGCAAUUAGCCCAAUGUUCUACUAAUGCCUACAGCAACGCCUCUAAUCAAACUAGUGGUUUUGUUAUCUUUCAGUGGUCUAGGGUUUUUGUUUGUUUGUUUAUUUUUGAGCUUCUUCAUGAAAUAUAAAUUAAGAUAUAGCAGAAUCAUUUUGGUGCAGUGUUGACAUGUCAAAGUUGGGAGACAGCUUUAUGAUCUCAUUCCCAUAAAGUGUGGAAACUUUAAUUCAUGGCUAAGCUGCACUCAAUUUACACUGGAGCAAUCAUUCCAUUUGUUUUUGGUUUUUUUUACUUGUUUGUUUAUUUUAUGUACUAAACACUUUCUCUUCUCUCUACAUGGCCCUUUUUACCAUUCCUACUUUCUGCAUGAGAAGUGCCAAACAGUAAACCAUAAUACUUCUCCUGUUGCUAUGUACUUUUUCCUACUGAACAUGCAUAACUUUCACACCAGAUGAUUUUCAUGGGGAAAUCUUCAUAAGGCUGUGAGGUAUAAGACACUAACAACAGACCUCAGAGAUGUAAAGAAAAGAGCUCUGGGACUAGAGGGUUGAAAAUAGUUGAGAUAACAAGGACUCUCGUGGUUAUGUGAACCAUCAGAUUUUAUUAUAAAUAGGUAGUAUUGGUUUGCAUGUGUAACUUGUUGGAGUCCAUUUCUGAUCUAACAAAUUAUUGCAGAGUAAAAGGCUUAUUUAAGUAAAUAUCAAGAAGCAGAGUUAACAUGUUUUGGCUCUGUCUAGAUUACAGAAUAGCACAGAUCUGUAGAGUGAAACACCUACUUCUAAGAAGCCAAUGUGAAGACCAGAUAUGUUUCAGGGAGCUUUAUUUUGGUUCAACUUUGUUCUGAUCUGAUGGGCUGAAUGGUCAUGGGCAGCUGGAAUACUAUAGGUGUGCUGCUGAAACAAGUUGUUAGUUUAGCUUCAUCCUGAAAGAACCUGGUCCUUUUCUGUGACACCGCUCCACAGUGUGUGGGAAAUGGGGAUGAUCAGAACAUUUGUUUGGCAAACCUUCUCUUGGCCUGAACGAAAAUGCUCUACAACAUGACUAUUAUUGCUAAUAUGAAAGCAGUAUUCUGCCUUAUUCAUCUUGACUUACCCUAGUGGAAACAGAAGAUUUUGUUGUUGAUCACAUUAUAUUUGAAAAAGAUUCAAAUAGAUGCACUCUCAGUUCUCCUUGAGCCCUUAGUUAAGAAACUGAGUGAAAUUAGUUAACAACAUCAUUUUCAUUAAGCCCAUAUUAGCACUUAUUACUUUAUUACCAUGUUUACAUUAAUAUUUUAACUUAGCCUGCACAGCAUGUCCAGCAGAAAAAGAACAACUCCUACACAUUCAACUCUAACAAAAAUGUAAAUAUCUUAUUUUCCUUUAAUAUGCAAGGUUAUUGUGAUCCUUGCAAGUAAGAGAACAGAGUAGUUAUCCUAAAUGUAAUGCUGCUCCCUUUGUCUGACAUUUUUAUUCUUCACUCACACUUUUGCAAGAUUGAAACAUGUCAGCUGGGAAAACAGUACUCAGAUGGGGUGGUGCACAUCUAGCAUGCCAGUGACUCUGGGCCCAGGAGCUUUCAUAUCUUGUUAUCUCCUACAGUGAAGGUGAAUCCCCUAUGAUGGGAGUUACACCUGAGUAACUGCUUACAGCAGAUGCUCAAGUUUUUCUCAUUGCUACCCUAUUUUCUAAUUACUUUUUAUUCUUGUAUUUUCAGUGCACUGAAAAGAACAAAUAUACUUGUUGUACCUCACAGGACACCUAAGAGUCAAAUUAGAAAGAAAGGAAAACUUCCCUGAGAUUAUGUUAGCACAGUUAUACAGACAAAAUUCUACUAACACGUUCUGUUUUUGAUGGAAACUAUCAAUUCUCAUAAAAAUCCUUUCUCAAUAAAAAAUUAUCUAUGUAAAUAUGAUGAAGUGGUAUGUUCCUUUGAAGAGUAGAGUAUACCAACAAAUUUGCAAUCUAGCUUAUUUUAUUAAUUUCCCUCUGAAAGUCUGUUUUAGAGUAUCUGAACAGCAUGUAAGUAAUGGCCAACAGCCUGAUAUGAGUGAUCACUUUCUUUCUACAGAUUAGGAAGAUGAGGAAUGAAGAAUAUUUGCACAGAAUCAAAAAAAGGAAAAGAAUAUACCCAUAAGGUUUACCAUAAAAAAUUAAAAAAAACAAAAACCUGCAGUGUUAAACAAAAGCAAAAAGAAUCACAAGGAAUCUGCUAAAGGUGCAAGGAUAUUCCUAAACCUCCUACUUGGGAACUUUCAUUUCUCCCUUUGUCUAUCAGGGCACAAAAUCCUUUAACCUUCUCGAUUCUAAGCAUGCAUGGACUCCUCAACCCUCAAGUCUUCUUAUCUGAAAUCGCCUCCAGGCCAUUAACUCCUACCAUGUAAUAAUAUCCUUUUCAUUCAAUCAAUCAUUACUGCCCACACUACUCCCAACCCUCUUCCUCUCCCUGCUCCCAUCUACCCUUCACAUACUCUUUCUGUUAAAUCCCUACACUCCUUUUGGAACUAAAGGUCACUUUUCCUGUCUGUCUCAACCUGUUAUUUCAGAGGCAUUUUAAAACUCUAGUCACAGACUGUAAAUAUUAAAAAUCCCUCAGAAUUCUCUGAAAGGUAAUUAAAAAAAGGUCAUGUCUCAGGCCCUAGAUAACACAUUGGGCCUUAUUUGAGUGAGGUAUUGAACUAAACCACUUCUGCAUGUCCCUUGAAUUCCAACCAUAUUAUGGGUCUCUACUAGGAAAAAAAAAAAGAAUCUGUACAGUUGUCCUACAAACCCUACUGAAUUUUCGUAGCAGUGUUUUUUUAAAGAGUGUUUUGUAGAAUCUUGUACCCUCAUGUUCACCUGAAAGACAAACCAAAUCCAAAGUCAUCAGUAUGACAAUACAAUCGAUUUCAAACUUUCCAAAGAGUGGCUGUAAUACCAAGGAGUAAGUGAUUUUUCAGGCAUGCACAUUCUGUGCCAAAGAGUGACCUUUGCAGUAGCAUGAUGGAAUAGAAAAUUUUGAGAUUUGGGAUUCUGUAGAAAAUUCGUGUGUCUUUAUUCAUUAAAUAAAAUCCUACAUUAAAGGUACUGAUAAUCUGACAUCUUUCAUAGUUUAUUGAACAACCCUUUUGGCUGCUUUUGAUGGCUGAUAGAAAGGUUACAUACAACGUGGAUCAAAACAAAAUUAAAUGGAAGAGGUGAGUCAAAUUUUUCCUGGAAAGCUCUUCACACAAAUAAGUUUUUAUGAACUCUGAGACAUCACGGUCAUUCUUCAUGUUUCACCACUUUCACCAUGAACAAAGGGCUUUUAGGAACCGAGAAACCAAAUACUUCUUCCCUUGAAAAGGUGGAUAAAUACAGACACAAGAAAGAAUGGAAAAUAGUAAAGAAAAUUCAGGAUCAGUGGGUUGUGACAAAAUUGUAAAACAGAUUGCCAAGCUGCUAACUGCAGUGUGCAAUCUAUUGCUUAAAUCUGUGUUGCUGCCAGACAAAUAGAAAGGGGUAAAUGUCAUGCUGAAUUUUGAAAAGUGCUCCUGGGUGUUGCAAGCCAAAAAGUCUGGUUUUCAAGCAAAUAAAAUUGGAUGAGAAUAUAAUGAAAGAAAAAAUGAACAGAUCCAUGAUUAAAGAUGAUUAAACAAGCAAAAGUCAACACAGUUUUUGUAGAGAGUAGUUCCGCACAUACCGAAGAGCUUUCUCUGGGGCAAUCAACAAGUAGAUGAGCAGACUUUUUUCUUUAGAAAGUCUCCAGACAAGGUGUCUCAUCAAAAGUGCUCUCAUUUAAAAAUAAAUAAAAAUAAAAAUUGCUCAUUAAGAGAAAAGAUGGGACUAAGUGGUUAGUGCUCAGAAAAGAAGAUCAUCUGUACAACACAGGAACGUACCAUGGGAUGCGUGCUCUUCAAUAUAUUCAUAAAUGAUCUAGAAAAGUUGCUGAAUAAGAAGCCAAAAUCAUUCACAAUAGUCAAAACUAAAGCUGAUGACAAGAAAAAUGAAAAAAAAAAUCUUAGUAUGCAAAAUGACUGUAUUACAAAAUGGCAGAGAAAUUUCAGUGUUAUUAACCACAAAACUGCAGAAAAGGGAGCAGGAAACUAACCUGAUUGCUUAUAUACAACAGCUGCUCCAAAAGUAAUGCCUCCUAUUUUAUGAUGUUGGCCGACAGUGUCAGAAGUGAAUGUUGGUGGCAUGGCAGUUGAGGUUGAACCUUCCCACCAAUACUUCAUUACACUUUGUUGCUGUGUGACGGAUGGCAGCAGAGGGACAGUCUGACAAAAUGGCUCCUGACAAAGUGUGGAUGAAGCAAAAGUGUGAAACUGAAUUCUUCCAUGUGGAAAAAAAAUGGCACCUGCUGACAUUCAUCAAUGUUUGCUGAAUGUUUAUGUAGACCAAACAGUGGAUGUGAGCACAGUGAGGUGAUGGGUGGUGCAUUUCGGCAGUGGUGACAGUGAUCUAACAGACAAGCCAUGUUCCGGAUGGUCAUGCAGAUUUUUAUGAGCAGAGCAUGCUGACUCUUGUUCAUCGCUGCUGAAAAUGAAUAGCUAAUGGUGGUGAUUCUGUUGAAAAAAAGUGUUUUGUAGCUGAGAAUUUACUCUGUCAAACAGCAUUAUUGUGUGCUUUGUGGUUUCCAUGGAAAUAAAUAGGAGGCAUUACUUUUAGAGCAAACUACAUAUAACAAUAAGCUAUCAAUGCCCCUGAAAGUAAUCAUGUAACUAUUGACAGUUGUUCUUGGUGAAAACUAAUGCUCAAAGGAAGGCCAAAAAGAAUUAAAUUAGGAAAUUGUGAACAAAACCAAUUACAUUAUUCUACUGAAUAAAUCCACAUUCCACCCCAGACUUCUUGUGAAACCCAGCCACCAUCAUUGGGCUUGCUUUGUUUGCACCGUCUGGGAAUUGGGAGCUGGUCUCUUGCUGGUGAGACCCUUACCUUCUUGGCAGUACUACUGCUCUUGACUCCAGGAUCUCUGUACUUCAGGGAGCAGCCAGCCCUCACUCUUCUCUGACAUGCUGUUAUCUGCCUCCUUUCUACAAAACAAAAUCUUAUGUUAAUCAUCUUGAAGAUUCUAUCUCUGAGGGAAGCUCUGAAAGUAACGCUUCCUAUUUUAUGAUGUUGGCCCAUGAUGUCAGAGGCGAAUAUGGGUGGUAUGGCAGUAGAGGUUGAGCCUUCCCGCCAGUAUUCUGUUACACGUGGUUGCUGUGUGACAGAUGGCAGCAGCGGGGCAGUCUGACGCAGUGGUGUCUGAUUUGGGAGUGUGGAUGAAGCAAAAGCGUGUCAGUGAAUUUCUCCAUGAGGAAAAACUUGCACUCACUGACAUUCAUCAGUACUUGCUGAACAGGGAGGCUGCGGGUAGUGCAUUUCAGCAGUGACUACAGUGACGUAAAAGACAAGCCACGUUCUGGAUCACCAUGCACAGCUGUCACACCAAAAAAUGAAGAGCAAAUCAGUGUGUCCUAAAAGUCCUGGCAUCUGGA